UGCAGUCGAACGAUGAACCACUUCGGUGGGGAUUAGUGGCGAACGGGUGAGUAACACGUGGGCAAUCUGCCCUUCACUCUGGGACAAGCCCUGGAAACGGGGUCUAAUACCGGAUAUGACCCUGGGAGGCAUCUCCCGGGUUGUAAAGCUCCGGCGGUGAAGGAUGAGCCCGCGGCCUAUCAGCUUGUUGGUGAGGUAACGGCUCACCAAGGCGACGACGGGUAGCCGGCCUGAGAGGGCGACCGGCCACACUGGGACUGAGACACGGCCCAGACUCCUACGGGAGGCAGCAGUGGGGAAUAUUGCACAAUGGGCGCAAGCCUGAUGCAGCGACGCCGCGUGAGGGAUGACGGCCUUCGGGUUGUAAACCUCUUUCAGCAGGGAAGAAGCGCAAGUGACGGUACCUGCAGAAGAAGCGCCGGCUAACUACGUGCCAGCAGCCGCGGUAAUACGUAGGGCGCAAGCGUUGUCCGGAAUUAUUGGGCGUAAAGAGCUCGUAGGCGGCUUGUCACGUCGGGUGUGAAAGCCCGGGGCUUAACCCCGGGUCUGCAUUCGAUACGGGCUGGCUAGAGUGUGGUAGGGGAGAUCGGAAUUCCUGGUGUAGCGGUGAAAUGCGCAGAUAUCAGGAGGAAC
rnacentral:rRNA from 1 species